rnacentral:rRNA from 1 species
UUAAGCGACUAAGCGUACACGGUGGAUGCCCUGGCAGUCAGAGGCGAUGAAGGACGUGCUAAUCUGCGAUAAGCGUCGGUAAGGUGAUAUGAACCGUUAUAACCGGCGAUUUCCGAAUGGGGAAACCCAGUGUGUUUCGACACACUAUCAUUAACUGAAUCCAUAGGUUAAUGAGGCGAACCGGGGGAACUGAAACAUCUAAGUACCCCGAGGAAAAGAAAUCAACCGAGAUUCCCCCAGUAGCGGCGAGCGAACGGGGAGGAGCCCAGAGCCUGAAUCAGUGUGUGUGUUAGUGGAAGCGUCUGGAAAGGCGCGCGAUACAGGGUGACAGCCCCGUACACAAAAAUGCACAUAUUGUGAGCUCGAUGAGUAGGGCGGGACACGUGGUAUCCUGUCUGAAUAUGGGGGGACCAUCCUCCAAGGCUAAAUACUCCUGACUGACCGAUAGUGAACCAGUACCGUGAGGGAAAGGCGAAAAGAACCCCGGCGAGGGGAGUGAAAAAGAACCUGAAACCGUGUACGUACAAGCAGUGGGAGCCUCUUUUAUGGGGUGACUGCGUACCUUUUGUAUAAUGGGUCAGCGACUUAUAUUCUGUAGCAAGGUUAACCGAAUAGGGGAGCCGAAGGGAAACCGAGUCUUAACUGGGCGUUAAGUUGCAGGGUAUAGACCCGAAACCCGGUGAUCUAGCCAUGGGCAGGUUGAAGGUUGGGUAACACUAACUGGAGGACCGAACCGACUAAUGUUGAAAAAUUAGCGGAUGACUUGUGGCUGGGGGUGAAAGGCCAAUCAAACCGGGAGAUAGCUGGUUCUCCCCGAAAGCUAUUUAGGUAGCGCCUCGUGAAUUCAUCUCCGGGGGUAGAGCACUGUUUCGGCAAGGGGGUCAUCCCGACUUACCAACCCGAUGCAAACUGCGAAUACCGGAGAAUGUUAUCACGGGAGACACACGGCGGGUGCUAACGUCCGUCGUGAAGAGGGAAACAACCCAGACCGCCAGCUAAGGUCCCAAAGUCAUGGUUAAGUGGGAAACGAUGUGGGAAGGCCCAGACAGCCAGGAUGUUGGCUUAGAAGCAGCCAUCAUUUAAAGAAAGCGUAAUAGCUCACUGGUCGAGUCGGCCUGCGCGGAAGAUGUAACGGGGCUAAACCAUGCACCGAAGCUGCGGCAGCGACACUAUGUGUUGUUGGGUAGGGGAGCGUUCUGUAAGCCUGUGAAGGUGUACUGUGAGGUAUGCUGGAGGUAUCAGAAGUGCGAAUGCUGACAUAAGUAACGAUAAAGCGGGUGAAAAGCCCGCUCGCCGGAAGACCAAGGGUUCCUGUCCAACGUUAAUCGGGGCAGGGUGAGUCGACCCCUAAGGCGAGGCCGAAAGGCGUAGUCGAUGGGAAACAGGUUAAUAUUCCUGUACUUGGUGUUACUGCGAAGGGGGGACGGAGAAGGCUAUGUUGGCCGGGCGACGGUUGUCCCGGUUUAAGCGUGUAGGCUGGUUUUCCAGGCAAAUCCGGAAAAUCAAGGCUGAGGCGUGAUGACGAGGCACUACGGUGCUGAAGCAACAAAUGCCCUGCUUCCAGGAAAAGCCUCUAAGCAUCAGGUAACAUCAAAUCGUACCCCAAACCGACACAGGUGGUCAGGUAGAGAAUACCAAGGCGCUUGAGAGAACUCGGGUGAAGGAACUAGGCAAAAUGGUGCCGUAACUUCGGGAGAAGGCACGCUGAUAUGUAGGUGAAGUCCCUCGCGGAUGGAGCUGAAAUCAGUCGAAGAUACCAGCUGGCUGCAACUGUUUAUUAAAAACACAGCACUGUGCAAACACGAAAGUGGACGUAUACGGUGUGACGCCUGCCCGGUGCCGGAAGGUUAAUUGAUGGGGUUAGCGCAAGCGAAGCUCUUGAUCGAAGCCCCGGUAAACGGCGGCCGUAACUAUAACGGUCCUAAGGUAGCGAAAUUCCUUGUCGGGUAAGUUCCGACCUGCACGAAUGGCGUAAUGAUGGCCAGGCUGUCUCCACCCGAGACUCAGUGAAAUUGAACUCGCUGUGAAGAUGCAGUGUACCCGCGGCAAGACGGAAAGACCCCGUGAACCUUUACUAUAGCUUGACACUGAACAUUGAGCCUUGAUGUGUAGGAUAGGUGGGAGGCUUUGAAGUGUGGACGCCAGUCUGCAUGGAGCCGACCUUGAAAUACCACCCUUUAAUGUUUGAUGUUCUAACGUGGACCCGUGAUCCGGGUUGCGGACAGUGUCUGGUGGGUAGUUUGACUGGGGCGGUCUCCUCCUAAAGAGUAACGGAGGAGCACGAAGGUUGGCUAAUCCUGGUCGGACAUCAGGAGGUUAGUGCAAUGGCAUAAGCCAGCUUGACUGCGAGCGUGACGGCGCGAGCAGGUGCGAAAGCAGGUCAUAGUGAUCCGGUGGUUCUGAAUGGAAGGGCCAUCGCUCAACGGAUAAAAGGUACUCCGGGGAUAACAGGCUGAUACCGCCCAAGAGUUCAUAUCGACGGCGGUGUUUGGCACCUCGAUGUCGGCUCAUCACAUCCUGGGGCUGAAGUAGGUCCCAAGGGUAUGGCUGUUCGCCAUUUAAAGUGGUACGCGAGCUGGGUUUAGAACGUCGUGAGACAGUUCGGUCCCUAUCUGCCGUGGGCGCUGGAGAACUGAGGGGGGCUGCUCCUAGUACGAGAGGACCGGAGUGGACGCAUCACUGGUGUUCGGGUUGUCAUGCCAAUGGCACUGCCCGGUAGCUAAAUGCGGAAGAGAUAAGUGCUGAAAGCAUCUAAGCACGAAACUUGCCCCGAGAUGAGUUCUCCCUGACUCCUUGAGAGUCCUGAAGGAACGUUGAAGACGACGACGUUGAUAGGCCGGGUGUGUAAGCGCAGCGAUGCGUUGAGCUAACCGGUACUAAUGAACCGUGAGGCUUAACCUU